CAGUAGCCGCGGGAAUACGAAGGGGGCUAGCGUUGUUCGGAUUUACUGGGCGUAAAGCGCACGUAGGCGGAUCCUUAAGUCAGAGGUGAAAUCCCAAGGCUCAACCUUGGAACUGCCUUUGAUACUGGGGAUCUCGAGUUCGUGAGAGGUGAGUGGAACUGCGAGUGUAGAGGUGAAAUGCGUAGAUAUUCGGAAGAACACCAGUGGCGAAGGCGACACACUGGUCUGUAACUGACGCUGAGGAGCGAAAGCGUGGGGAGCGAACAGGAUUAGAGACCCCCGUAGUCCCUGUCUCUUAUAC
rnacentral:rRNA from 1 species